rnacentral:rRNA from 1 species
UACGAAGGGGGCGAGCGUUGUUCGGAAUUACUGGGCGUAAAGGGCGCGCAGGCGGCCUUAGAAGUCAGAUGUGAAAGCCCCGGGCUCAACCUGGGAAUGGCAUUUGAUACUCUGAGGCUGGAGUACGGGAGAGGAGAGUGGAAUUCCCAGUGUAGAGGUGAAAUUCGUAGAUAUUGGGAAGAACACCGGUGGCGAAGGCGGCUCUCUGGACCGUAACUGACGCUGAGGCGCGAAAAGCGUGGGGGAGCAAACAGG